rnacentral:piRNA from 1 species
UGGAGAUCUAGAUACCGGCAUAAAGACGC